CUACUCAACCUUCAACUAACCUACGCUUAUAUCAAUCUUCUUCAAUGAAUUUCAGCCAAUAUAAUCAAACAAAAAAUUUCUUCUUCUCUCUGCAUAUUGAAGACAAGCAGGAACAAUGCUCCAAAAAAUAUACACACAAGAUAAUGAGGAGACUUGCUAGACGCUCAAUAUUUCUUUCAUUUUGUUGUGCCAUUUUUUGUUUCUGAAAAAAAAAGGAAGAUGAGGAAGGAGCCUUGUAAUUGCAGAAUUGUGACGAAAAGUAGAUUGCAGAUUGCAAUAAAAAUGCAACCAAUUAGAAUGCACUCAAUGUGUUCGAUGAAACUUCUAAAUGAGAUUUGGGAUACUGUUCCUGCUUCAAAACCGCUGUUCAUACUUACAAAUGAGAUUGGGGGCGUCAUUCCAGAUUCAACUACUAAAAGUUCAAUAUAUGAAAGCAUUCAAUAGGCCUCCCUGGUAACUUUCUGUGAGCCGGUGGUGCAAUUUCUUCUUUACCAGUUUCGGCCCACAAGAUCUUUCCUCUCACGGGUUGUAUCAUGAACUGAUAGGCCUUCAAAUAUGUAGAUUCUAUAUACCAAUGAGCAACGAAAUUUUCUGGCUCCAACCCUUCACUGUGCAGGACACAAACUGCAUGUUGGCAUGGGAUACCGGUCUUCUUUAACAUAAGAUAUAAUCUCUGGAUAUGAGAUCUUAUCAAUGUCCAAGGCAUCACACACUUGAGUAACUUUUCCACCAACAUAGCGACGUCUACUAUCAUCAACAA